GGUAAAAUGGCUGAGUAUAAGGCGAUAAAUUGUAAAUUUAUUAACAAGAUUAAUUCUUUUUUAUC
rnacentral:tRNA from 1 species